AUUAUGGAGAGUUUGAUCCUGGCUCAGGAUGAACGCUGGCGGCGUGCCUAAUACAUGCAAGUCGAGCGAACCACUUCGGUGGUGAGCGGCGAACGGGUGAGUAACACGUAGGUUAUCUGCCCAUCAGACGGGGACAACGAUUGGAAACGAUCGCUAAUACCGGAUAGGACGAAAGUUUAAAGGUGCUUCGGCACCACUGAUGGAUGAGCCUGCGGCGCAUUAGCUAGUUGGUAGGGUAAAGGCCUACCAAGGCGACGAUGCGUAGCCGACCUGAGAGGGUGAACGGCCACACUGGGACUGAGACACGGCCCAGACUCCUACGGGAGGCAGCAGUAGGGAAUCUUCGGCAAUGGGCGAAAGCCUGACCGAGCAACGCCGCGUGAAUGAUGAAGGCCUUCGGGUUGUAAAAUUCUGUUAUAAGGGAAGAAUGGCUCUAGUAGGAAAUGGCUAGAGUGUGACGGUACCUUAUGAGAAAGCCACGGCUAACUACGUGCCAGCAGCCGCGGUAAUACGUAGGUGGCGAGCGUUAUCCGGAAUUAUUGGGCGUAAAGAGCGCGCAGGUGGUUGAUUAAGUCUGAUGUGAAAGCCCACGGCUUAACCGUGGAGGGUCAUUGGAAACUGGUCAACUUGAGUGCAGAAGAGGGAAGUGGAAUUCCAUGUGUAGCGGUGAAAUGCGUAGAGAUAUGGAGGAACACCAGU
rnacentral:rRNA from 1 species